GUGCUAGCUUCGGCAGCACAUAUACUAAAAUUGAAAUGAUAGAGAGAAGAGUAUCAUGGCCCCUGCGCAAAGAUGACACACAAAUUCGUGAAACGUUCCAUUUUUUA
rnacentral:snRNA from 1 species